rnacentral:miRNA from 1 species
UAUUAGGUUUGGUGCAAAAGUAAUUGCGGUUUUUGCCAUUGCUUUUAAAGGCAAAAAACUCAAUUACUUUUGCACCAGCAUAAUACUU